AGUACUUCCCAAAUUUGUGCUGCUGUUGUUCUAACGCAAGUUACUCAGGGAGGAGAACAACCUGGAACAGAGAUUUCCAACAAAAGCACGGUUUUCUGGUGGUAAACAGCAUCAAAACUAGAGGUAUGGAUACACCAAGUAGCGCUGGAUUACUGUAUGUGCAUGACUAUUACAAAAGCUCAGAUAUUUUAACUUCCUCCUAACACAACAUCCUCAAACUCCUCAGUGAUUGCAUUGCAUUCUUAUACUGAAGCCUGAUGCACAACCCACACACGUGUGGCCAGCACUCUCCUUGUAGCACUGGUUGUAGAGGAGCUACAGUAAAGGUUCCCUGGUGCUGCUGCUGCUGCUCCCUGGGCCAUUCCAGAGGACCUCUGAUCGAGGGAAGUCCCUGCCACCUGCAGGGAGCAGGACACUGCCAC
rnacentral:lncRNA from 1 species